AAGAAAAUGACGGUGAGAAAUUAAGUUCAAGAAAAUAAUUGAUGAAUUGUCUCCUCGGAAAAUUAGACGUGUGCAUGGUAAAUAAGUCGACGGAAAGUCGAUAUACGUUUGGCAUUAUGUGUUUUUUUUGGGUCUAAUUGGCAUUAUGUGUUUAUUUUGAUUUAAACUACACGAUACGAUCAUUGAUGUGCUAUACCCUGACUGGCGAGGCUUCUUCUAAACGAGUGGAGUAGUUUAA
rnacentral:lncRNA from 1 species